CAGUCGUACUUAUGGGUAAUCAGCCUUUUGGGUGUGAUUUUGUGGAGCGUACGUGAGCUUUAACCGGCCUCGUUGUUUGCGAUGUUUGUGCUUUUUGGGUGUACUUUUUCGUAUGGUAGGCCAACGUCAGUCUCGGUCACCAUAAAAUGAUUAGAGGAAUGUAGCUUCGAUCUCGUAUUGAAGUGUUAAUAGCCUCUGGUAGAUGU
rnacentral:rRNA from 1 species